GACGUAAGGAUCGAGACGUUUACGAUACAUCUUUGUAAAUUUACUGUAAAGUAGAUGUAAGUUUACAGACACGAUUUAACAGAUUAAUUCGUAAUAUGUGGAAAGUGCAAUUUCUACGGAAACUUUGUAAAAUUUACAGAAAAAUCAAGUUAAUGAUAAGUUUUCUUUUUCGAGCAUGCGCACUUGAGAAGUUUGUGAAAAGCCCGCGAAGCAAAGAGAAUUUUCCUUCCGGUCUUGGAUGUGUCAAGUGAUCUUCUUGAUCAGAAAUUCAAUUACGUCGUCGGUUGACAUCUACCUAUACCCAUGGAUUAUCUCCAUCACCUUCACAACCUUGAAUUGCUAAGAGAGCUACCUUUGCCAAGACCACGUCGUGGGCUACGGGAUGCUAGAAAUCCAUCGGAAUCGUAUGAGGAUGGGCCAUUUCGAGAUCGGUAUCGACUGUCAAAAGAAACCGUCAUUUACAUCAUCAACAUGCUGGAAGCCGAAUUGAAGAGGGACACACAGAGGAAUGAUCCACUUCCCGUUUAUUUGCAGGUGUUGACGGCUCUCCGUUUUCAUGCAGUGGGAUCAUUUCAAAAGAUGCAUGGUGAUGAGGCAGCAAUAUCACAGUCAUCAAUGUGUCGAAUCAUCAAAGAUGUGUCAGAAGCUAUAGCAAGAAGGAAAAGGCAAU